rnacentral:rRNA from 1 species
AGCUUGCUCUUAUGAAGUUAGCGGCGGACGGGUGAGUAACACGUGGGUAACCUGCCCAUAAGACUGGGAUAACUCCGGGUAAACCGGGGCUAAUACCGGAUAACAUUUUGAACCGCAUGGUUCGAAAUUGAAAGGCGGCUUCGGCUGUCACUUAUGGAUGGACCCGCGUCGCAUUAGCUAGUUGGUGAGGUAACGGCUCACCAAGGCAACGAUGCGUAGCCGACCUGAGAGGGUGAUCGGCCACACUGGGACUGACACACGGCCCAGACUCCUACGGGAGGCAGCAGUAGGGAAUCUUCCGCAAUGGACGAAAGUCUGACGGAGCAACGCCGCGUGAGUGAUGAAGGCUUUCGGGUCGUAAAACUCUGUUGUUAGGGAAGAACAAGUGCUAGUUGAAUAAGCUGGCACCUUGACGGUACCUAACCAGAAAGCCACGGCUAACUACGUGCCAGCAGCCGCGGUAAUACGUAGGUGGCAAGCGUUAUCCGGAAUUAUUGGGCGUAUAGCGCGCGCACGUGGUUUCUUAAGUCUGAUGUGAAAGCCCACGGCUCA